rnacentral:rRNA from 1 species
UACGAAGGGUGCAAGCGUUACUCGGAAUUACUGGGCGUAAAGGGUGCGUAGGUGGUUUGUUAAGUCUGCUGUGAAAUCCCCGGGCUCAACCUGGGAAUGGCAGUGGAUACUGGCAAGCUAGAGUGCGGUAGAGGGUAGUGGAAUUCCCGGUGUAGCAGUGAAAUGCGUAGAGAUCGGGAGGAACACCAGUGGCGAAGGCGGCUACCUGGACCAGCACUGACACUGAAGCACGAAAGCGUGGGAAGCAAACAGG